rnacentral:tRNA from 1 species
GCUCGGGUGCUGGAACGGUAGACAGGCUGGUCUCAAAAACCAGUGAUAUGAAAAUAUCGUGAGAGUUCGAGUCUCUCCCCGAGCA